UGGGGAAUAUUGGACAAUGGGCGAAAGCCUGAUCCAGCCAUGCCGCGUGUGUGAAGAAGGUCUUCGGAUUGUAAAGCACUUUAAGUUGGGAGGAAGGGCAGUAAGCGAAUACCUUGCUGUUUUGACGUUACCGACAGAAUAAGCACCGGCUAACUCUGUGCCAGCAGCCGCGGUAAUACAGAUGGUGCGAGCGUUAAUCGGAUUUACUGGGCGUAAAGCGUGCGUAGGCGGCUAAUUGAGUCGGAUGUGAAAUCCCCGAGCUUAACUUGGGAAUUGCAUUCGAUACUGGUUAGCUAGAGUGUGGGAGAGGAUGGUAGAAUUCCAGGUGUAGCGGUGAAAUGCGUAGAGAUCUGGAGGAAUACCGAUGGCGAAGGCAGCCAUCUGGCCUAACACUGACGCUGAGGUACGAAAGCGUGGGGAGCAAACAGG
rnacentral:rRNA from 1 species